UUACUCCGGCCGAUCUCUCGGCCUCUCGGCGAACGAUCACUGAACCACACGGUCUUCAAUCCCCGUGGACGAGUCACACAUCUAAUCGUCCGCACAGGACCGCUCGCCCGGAGGACCGUGCGCGCGGCAACGUAUGUAAUUCGGGACCGCUCGCGCUUCACGUCGUCGCGCUGAGCCCAUAUCGAUACGAAGAAUGAAGGAAACGAUCGAGAAGGGGCAGAGAGAAGAGGGAAGACAGCGCAAGAACAAGUGGGUAAUACGAAGAUAAAAGACUGGUACUGGUUACACACGCGUAUAUCUCAGGCCGGAAAGCGUGUAACAUCCGCGAAAAAUCGAGAAAAAGGAAUCAAAAGCGCAAAGGUACGCGUAUAUGUACUUAUGGACCGAAGAGGAUAAGAGAUCACUCCCAGAUUACCUUGGCGUGGAACACGAUUCCACGGUGAAACGCCUCCUCGCUGUGCAGCGGUAUUCGCGUGUCGUACUCGUCAUUAUGUACGAGGUUGUAUUGCUUCUUAGAGGGCAUGCUGAGCCCAGCUGCAUUCGACUAUGCUCGUCCAGCCUGGCUGCAAUUACAUUAUAUUUAACUGUAGACCCCCGUUCUUUUAUAGCUCUGUGUUUGAAAAGAGAUGGAGUGAAUUGUUUCAAUCACAGUUAAGUCUUCGACUAAUGUUUACGGCAACGGCUUGAAAGUGAAAGGAAACGUAUUUAAAUCAACCAACUGUUCAGCAACAAUCAACAAACGCGGUCGCUAACGUUUCUCUAUCAGAAAAAGAGCAAUAUUUUUGCAACAAGGAAGAUACUAUCAAUUUCAUGUGUCACGAGGAGUAAUUCUCUCGGUCGGCGAUGAAAAUAAGUGAGUUGGAAUAGUGCGCGCAAUGUGCACCUGCGUUCGUACCGCGUUGGAGAAUAUGCCGCGUGUAUAGACUUUUUCGACGCAUUCAAAAGGUAUGUACGCGGAAACUUGUGAGUAAUGAUUUUCUGUCGCGAACGCAACUUAACAUUUCAUUCGCGGAACAACUGUAGUUCAGGCGAUAUAAAUUGCAAUAGUGACCUGAAUUGUAUAAUUCAAUGGCCUUCUAUUGGAAUAUCGGAUUUUUCGGAAAGCUUGUCUUAAAAAAAUAUUCUAUAAUUUGAAUAUCUAACGUAAUCAUGGCAGAUUCUCCUCACCAAACUAUUUUUUUCUCCAUCGUAGAAUCUAACUUAUGAAGACGAACCUUUUACUAUUACUGUUUGUUCCUGUUUACUGUGUUGUUUCAAUUCUACAAAUUGGAAUUGUAUCCAAAGUUUAACGAAGAGGUAUACGUAGAAAAAGUAUAGAAAGAUACGUAUGUAUACGAUGCGAUAUGAACCAAGAGUUUUCAAUACUUUAAAACAAUUACCAGUAAUAUUUAAUUGAUACAAAAAUUCUCUUGAUCGUCGUAUUAUUUGAACAGACGGAUGACUUUAUAGCGUAUAAUUCACGUGCACAAUUAAUUUUUAUGAUGUUGUCCUUAUCGCAUCGACAUGUAAAAGCUUCCUUGCAUUUAGUUUUCGCAUAAUGGAAGACAAUAAGUCAAAUGCAGUGGAUUGUAGAAAAACAAACAAAUAAUAAGAUAUUAUUAUCCCGAACGAUCCAUAAACCACGUUCAUUAUUGAUAAGUAAUCCGCAAUUACAGACUCGUA
rnacentral:lncRNA from 1 species